rnacentral:tRNA from 1 species
GGUGGCUCAGUGGUAGAGUGCCUGCCUUGCGUGCAUGAGGCCCUGGGUUCAACCCUCAGUACCA